UGACUUUAAUGUCCAUACUUCAGAAGCUAAAAAACAAACAGCUGUACUCAGCCUAGACAGAUAAAUCCCACAGGAGGGCUAACACCAAAGAGAUCGUCAGUGGCAAAGACAUGGUUCCCUUUCAUGCAAAGAGCCUCCUGUAUCCUGACAGCCUUGCUUCAACCUGUAUCUGAUCCAGAACCGGUGGGGUGCUGCUGAGUGUUCAGGAGAACCCUGAAACAGCUGUCUCAGUGUCAGGCUACCUCUGAUCCAGCAACCCCAAGUCCUCUGACACUGUCCCCAUGGCUUGAUCUCCUGUGAGCAGGCCUAAAACGUCCAUAGAGGCCUGUAACCAAUACCCUCUGGUCUGCCCAAAGAAUAGAACUAACUCCCUCAGUCACUCCUGAAUUGACCCUCGCUCUCCAAGACCAAGGACAAACCUGAGGGCCCCUCCCUCUCCUCCAAACUCCCAUUGUUCAAGGUUAGAGGAGAACUGCCUUUUCAGACAAAUAAAUGUUCUGAAUAAGUUACUGACUCUUCCUGGUCUCCUAAGGACCUGAAUGAGCUAAAAGACAAAGAAGCUCCUUCUAAAGAAAACGUCAACAGUGGGUAGCAGAGAAGCCAGGUGUUUCAGACACCAAUAAAGGCAUCAUGCGACAGGAAAGCAGCACAGCUGUACCAGCCGAGACAAGAGGAGAGGGGGAGCAAACCCUGGGGGUCAGGGCCAAGUCUGCCAAGCAGACACCUCCUCUCAUAGGAAAAUGGGGAGUCUUUCACAGAGGUAACCUCCUGGCACAGAAGACCAUCUCCUGACUCGGAAUCUUCUCAGGGCCCAUUUUCACCACCUGAGAUCAAGGCCUUCAAUAUAGUUCCGGAAGGGAUAUGAUUCUGUACCUCCCAUUCUACCGGAAGUAAAACAUAUGGUAAGUGAAACAGUAAUGUAUGGACAAACAGCUGGGGUUUGGGGAGCAGGGGAAGUACCAUACAAGUUCCUGUGGCAUCACUGUGGUGCCAAGUGGGUUCCAUUGGGAAUUCAGACAAAUUCAGGAAAUGGAAAAUCUCAGCUUGGACCUCCAAAGGAACAGCAAUAAUAAUCUGUGUAACUGAGGGGACAUUGGUGCCAAGCGUCAGGUCCGUACCACCACUUUGAGAUGACUCUGGACACUGCAGUACGAAUUUUCUUCCCUGGUCUCUCAUUGGCUGGUUCAUAUAUAUUAGGUCACUCACACAGUCAUGGCACAUGGUAAGGAAGUGCAUUAGGGAAUAAAGCAGAUUCUGACAGCACUCCAAAACAAGCCCUUCAUUUUGUAAACCAUAGUAAUCCUUCAGAGCAGUGUAGCUGGCACACUGAGACAUUCACCUGUGGGGGCGCUGUCUUUGAGAAAUAAAGAACAAAAUUCUGUCCAUAAAGAGCUAAGGCAGUGGAUGGAUUAUUAU